UACGUAGGCAGCGAGCGUUGUUCGGAAUUACUGGGCGUAAAGAGUGUGUAGGCGGUGCUCCCAGUCUGUUGGGAAAUCUCCCGGCUUAACUGGGAGGGUGCAGCGGAAACUAGAGUGCUAGAGGGUGGGAGAGGUAAGCGGAAUUCCUGGUGUAGCGGUGAAAUGCGUAGAUAUCAGGAGGAACACCUGUGGUGUAGACAGCUUACUGGACCACUUCUGACGCUGAGACACGAAAGCGUGGGUAGCAAACAGG
rnacentral:rRNA from 1 species